rnacentral:rRNA from 1 species
CAGUAGCCGCGGUAAUACGUAGGGUGCGAGCGUUAAUCGGAAUUACUGGGCGUAAAGCGUGCGCAGGCGGUUCGUUAAGACAGAUGUGAAAUCCCCGGGCUUAACCUGGGAACUGCAUUUGUGACUGACGGGCUAGAGUAUGGCAGAGGGGGGUAGAAUUCCACGUGUAGCAGUGAAAUGCGUAGAGAUGUGGAGGAAUACCGAUGGCGAAGGCAGCCCCCUGGGCCAAUACUGACGCUCAUGCACGAAAGCGUGGGGAGCAAACAGGAUUAGAUACCCGAGUAGUCCCUGUCUCUUAUAC